GGGUUGUGAGGUUAAGCGACUAAGCGUACACGGUGGAUGCCCUGGCAGUCAGAGGCGAUGAAGGGCGUGCUAAUCUGCGAUAAGCGCCGGUAAGGUGAUAUGAACCGUUAUAACCGGCGAUACCCGAAUGGGGAAACCCAGUGUGAUUCGUCACACUAUCAUUAACUGAAUCCAUAGGUUAAUGAGGCGAACCGGGGGAACUGAAACAUCUAAGUACCCCGAGGAAAAGAAAUCAACCGAGAUUCCCCCAGUAGCGGCGAGCGAACGGGGAGGAGCCCAGAGCCUGAAUCAGCAUGUGUGUUAGUGGAAGCGUCUGGAAAGGCGCGCGAUACAGGGUGACAGCCCCGUACACAAAAGCGCAUGUGCUGUGAGCUCGAUGAGUAGGGCGGGACACGUGGUAUCCUGUCUGAAUAUGGGGGGACCAUCCUCCAAGGCUAAAUACUCCUGACUGACCGAUAGUGAACCAGUACCGUGAGGGAAAGGCGAAAAGAACCCCGGCGAGGGGAGUGAAAAAGAACCUGAAACCGUGUACGUACAAGCAGUGGGAGCCCCACCACUAAGCCAGUGGUGAACUCCACAUACGCAUCCUUUGCUGAGGAUACGGUUAACGGAGCGAAAGCGACGUUCAACCUCAAAAGAAGCAGAGGGGGCUUAGUGGUGGGGUGACUGCGUACCUUUUGUAUAAUGGGUCAGCGACUUAUAUUCUGUAGCAAGGUU
rnacentral:rRNA from 1 species